rnacentral:SRP_RNA from 1 species
CACCCGGGUAAGUCUUAUACGACCAGCUCCCCGAGAAUCCCCCAGGUGUGGAAGCAAGCAAGGGUAUUGGGUUGUAGCGGUGCGAUAUAAGUAGCUUACCCU